rnacentral:rRNA from 1 species
AGCAGCCGCGGUAAUUCCAGCUCCAAUAGCGUAUAUUAAAGUUGCUGCAGUUAAAAAGCUCGUAGUUGAAUUUCGGGACUAAUAUGUCGGUCGUGCCUCGGUACGUACUGGUUUAUUGGUUUCUCCUUUCUGAAGAACCAUGAUGUCAUUUAUUUGGUGUCGUGGGGAAUCAGGACUGUUACUUUGAAAAAAUUAGAGUGUUUAAAGCAGGCUCACGCUUGAAUACAUUAGCAUGGAAUAAUGAAAUAGGACGUUUGAUUCUAUUUUGUUGGUUUCUAGGAUCGACGUAAUGAUUAAUAGGGAUAGUUGGGGGCAUUAGUAUUCAAUUGUCAGAGGUGAAAUUCUUGGAUUUAUUGAAGACUAACUACUGCGAAAGCAUUUGCCAAGGAUGUUUUCAUUAAUCAAGAACGAAAGUUAGGGGAUCGAAGACGAUCAGAUACCGUCGUAGUCUUAACCAUAAACUAUGCCGACUAGGGAUCGGAUGAUGUAAUUUUUAAUGACUCAUUCGG